AUAACCCUCUUUCAUUUGUCGCCCAAACUCUUCUGUAUCUCUAUUUCUUUUCAUAAAAUUAUAAAUAAAUGUUCACAUCGGACAAGAUAUACAUAAAUUACAAAGAAAGAUGUGCUUGAACCCAAGAAGAGUAGAAGACCGUCAAGCGUUACAACUUACAAAGAUGUAGCAGCAUUAAUCCCUACCAACUUUUUUUCUUGAAUGGCUAUAAUCCCUACCAAGUUGAUAAUAUGGCCAUGUUCUCUCUCUCUCUCUUCAUGGUCGCACCAAGUAAAAAGAGGAAAAUACGGCCACAAGUAAAACGUGAAAUACCGCAAGUCCCAACCCAUGUAUAAACACAAAUCAGGAGUUCCUUAUGACACAUCAUCCUACACUCAUUCAGUUACAAUAACUUCUGUUCUUUCCUUACACCCUGCAUGUCACAUGCAUCACCUCUUGCUACAAUAUCACUCUACAAAACUUCUCGCCAUACACCUUAACCAUAUACUAGUAGACAAAGACCAGGCGGGAAAUGCAUGGGAGCUCUAGGGUGCCACAAANNNNN
rnacentral:lncRNA from 1 species